rnacentral:rRNA from 1 species
GACGAACGCUGGCGGCGUGCUUAACACAUGCAAGUCGAACGGAAAGGCUCUGCUUUUGUGGGGGGCUCGAGUGGCGAACGGGUGAGUAACACGUGAGUAACCUGCCCUUGACUUUGGGAUAACUUCAGGAAACUGGGGCUAAUACCGGAUAGGAGCUCCUGCUGCACGGUGGGGGUUGGAAAGUUUCGGCGGUUGGGGAUGGACUCGCGGCUUAUCAGCUUGUUGGUGGGGAAGUGGCUUACCAAGGCUUUGACGGGUAGCCGGCCUGAGAGGGUGACCGGCCACAUUGGGACUGAGAUACGGCCCAGACUCCUACGGGAGGCAGCAGUGGGGAAUAUUGCACAAUGGGCGGAAGCCUGAUGCAGCAACGCCGCGUGCGGGAUGACGGCCUUCGGGUUGUAAACCGCUUUCGCCUGUGACGAAGCGUGAGUGACGGUAAUGGGUAAAGAAGCACCGGCUAACUACGUG